UACGUAGGGUGCGAGCGUUAAUCGGAAUUACUGGGCGUAAAGCGUGCGCAGGCGGUUCGUUAAGUCAGCUGUGAAAGCCCCAGGCUCAACCUGGGAAUGGCGGUUGAAACUGGCGAACUAGAAUCUGGCAGAGGGGGGUGGAAUUCCACGUGUAGCAGUGAAAUGCGUAGAGAUGUGGAGGAACACCGAUGGCGAAGGCAGCCCCCUGGGCUGAGAUUGACGCUCAGGCACGAAAGCGUGGGGAGCAAACAGG
rnacentral:rRNA from 1 species